GACAGAGGGUGCAAACGUUGUUCGGAAUUACUGGGCGUAAAGCGUGUGUAGGCGGUCUGACAAGUCGGAUGUGAAAGCCCCGGGCUCAACCCGGGAAGUGCACUCGAUACUGUCAGACUUGAGUAUCGGAGAGGUUGGUAGAAUUCUCGGUGUAGAGGUGAAAUUCGUAGAUAUCGAGAGGAAUACCGGCGGCGAAGGCGGCCAACUGGACGAAUACUGACGCUGAGACACGAAAGCGUGGGGAGCAAACAGG
rnacentral:rRNA from 1 species